rnacentral:rRNA from 1 species
AUUGAACGCUGGCGGCAUGCCUUACACAUGCAAGUCGAACGGCAGCGGACCUUCGGGUGCCGGCGAGUGGCGAACGGGUGAGUAAUGCAUCGGAACGUACCUUUCAGUGGGGGAUAACGUAGCGAAAGUUACGCUAAUACCGCAUAUUCUGUGAGCAGGAAAGCAGGGGAUCGCAAGACCUUGCGCUGAUUGAGCGGCCGAUGUCAGAUUGGCUAGUUGGUGGGGUAAAGGCUCACCAAGGCGACGAUCUGUAGCGGGUCUGAGAGGAUGAUCCGCCACACUGGAACGGGGACACGGUCCAGACUCCUACGGGAGGCAGCAGUGGGGAAUUUUGUGCGAUGGGGGCAACCCUGAUUCAGCCAUGCCGCGUGAGUGAAGAAGGCCUUCGGGUUGUAAAGCUCUUUCGGCCGGGAAGAAAUCGCACGGGCUAAUACCCUGUGUGGAUGACGGUACCGGAAUAAGAAGCACCGGCUAACUACGUGCCAGCCGCCGCCGUAA